rnacentral:rRNA from 1 species
GAUGAACGCUGGCGGCGUGCCUAAUACAUGCAAGUCGAGCGAACAGACGAGGAGCUUGCUCCUCUGACGUUAGCGGCGGACGGGUGAGUAACACGUGGAUAACCUACCUAUAAGACUGGGAUAACUUCGGGAAACCGGAGCUAAUACCGGAUAAUAUAUUGAACCGCAUGGUUCAAUAGUGAAAGACGGUUUUGCUGUCACUUCUCGAUGGAUCCGCGCCGCAUUAGCUAGUUGGUAAGGUAACGGCUUACCAAGGCGACGAUGCGUAGCCGACCUGAGAGGGUGAUCGGCCACACUGGAACGGAGACACGGUCCAGACUCCUACGGGAGGCAGCAGUAGGGAAUCGUCCGCAAUGGGCGAAAGCCUGACGGAGCAACGCCGCGUGAGUGAUGAAGGUCUUCGGAUCGUAAAACUCUGUUAUUAGGGAAGAACAAAUGUGUAAGUAACUAUGCACGUCUUGACGGUACCUAAUCAGAAAGCCACGGCUAACUACGUG